rnacentral:tRNA from 1 species
GAGGUUAUGGCUCAGCGGUAGAGUACUCGCCUACCAUGUGCAAGGCCCUGGGUUCGAUCCUCAGUACCACA